GAGGGGGGGAGAUAGCAGAAGUUGCUCCAAAAAAUUUUACAUAAAAGGGUGAGUAUGGUUUCUAGACAUCUCUGUUCUAGAAUCCUCCCAAUCUGGUAAAAAAAAACAAAGAGUCCACAAAAUCCAACAGUUACGGUAAAAGGUGGCACUGGGAACAUCUGGCCACCGCCCAGAUAAGUCCUGAGAAUUAUGAGAAGUCGGUGUGGCCAGGCAUGCAGGACACCGCCAGAAAGGGGGUUGAGUCCAAAUGAUUAGGACUAGGAGGAUUUAUUAAGUGCCGACAGUAUACACGCCUCAGGUGUGAAAGCCCUCACCUGACAGUGGGCCGCCAUAUCUGGUCAUUGUGCCAGAGAAGAGACUCAACUGGCUGGGUGGGCCGGGGGUUAACAGCCUCAGUUUCCCUGUAGUUUCAAAAUCCACCAAGGUUUGUGAAGCGGGGAUAGGGUGGGCUGCGAUUUGGUGGUGGAGCUGCGUUUUCGCAGGUUCAGUAUUCUUAGGCGUUGGAGUCAGGUCAUCCAGGUUGAUUGUAACCCUUGACUGGGACUUCUGGUCCUUCCAUGAAGGGACAGCGAGGGGCGUGGAAUGGCUGCUGACGUCAGAACCUAGUUCAUAACAUCAACUGUGGGCCUGAGCCAGCUCUGCUCAAAGCCAGUGACAGAGUAGGCUUUUCGCCUUCCUUUGAACUUAAGUGAACUAACCGAGCCACACGGGCUCCUUGCAUUAUUAGCUCAACCAUACAAUGCAGCAGAUAAGACGGAAGCACACAAGCAUGCUGGGAGUAAACGAUAACCAGAACUUCCAUCAAAAUGAACGACUUCUCGUGUCGCCGGCUUUACGUGCGGGUCUAAAGCAGGUCCUUUCAGCUUAUUACUUGGUUCAGUUUAUAAUACGAUUUGUCUUUUAUAGAACUCCCACGCAACAAUGUCCCAGUAAACAGCAAGACUGUUACGCUUAUUAGAGAUAUUGAGGUGGGAUACUUGCAAAUGUCUCUCUUGCCGGGACAAGUUCCUUUCCCUCUUCAUUGUGGAAGACACAUGCAGGACACUCCGGGGAAGAUUUACAGUGGAGGAGAACCCAUACAUGCCAGGAGGUAGUCUCGGGCAGCUUCAGCUAUGCCACGACCCACCGCUGGCGGCGUUGGCGGAGUUCAGCGGCGCAGAAGGAAGGUUGGGGACUCGCGAGCGCCCUGGUGCCUUUUCUUCCCCCACAAAAGCCAUCCAGGCAUCAUCCUAUCGCCUACACGGACCGUGGUCUAAGGCCAGGGGUGCUCCGCGGCGCUGGAGUACUAACCUUGGAAGGCACUGAAUGCCACUGCUGUUUCUCUCUGCGUCUGCCUCACCAGAGGGCUGGGGAGAUGGAGGCCGUCUGUCGCAGACCAGUAAAGAACUCCACUGACACCAGAGGCUGGUCAGUCUCCAAGGAUGGACUGUGCACACAGAGGCAUACAACCUGCUUGCCCAUCACCUGUUCCUGCGGUUGCUUUCAGCCCGAUCUGAACUACUGUCUGGAGAAUCACCUGCCACCGCCCCUCCUCCUGGAACUCAGGCAGACACAGACAGAUGGCCGGCCCUUAAAGGCCAACAUUCAGCAAGCGUGCGCUGGUGUGCCUGUGCCAUUUAUUAAAACACGGGAAAUACUGUUCUAGACUGAAAACAGCCACUUUCCCAAGCCUGCUGUUGUCAGCUCCCCUGGACAUUUCCCUGUCUACUCCUACACCCCAAGUCCACGGAGCAGGGCAAGGAUCUCAGCUGUUAAGCCAUUAAACUCAAGCCCUGAUAGCGAGCUUCCUUGCAUUCCUAUUGGCUGAUGUCCAGCAGGGAGGUACUUAAGGUAAACUGAUAAGAAUGUCACAUCUGAUAAUAAACAUCUUUGUGACAGA